rnacentral:rRNA from 1 species
GCAGUCGAGCGGUAGCACAGAGAGCUUGCUCUCGGGUGACGAGCGGCGGACGGGUGAGUAAUGUCUGGGAAACUGCCUGAUGGAGGGGGAUAACUACUGGAAACGGUAGCUAAUACCGCAUAACGUCGCAAGACCAAAGUGGGGGACCUUCGGGCCUCAUGCCAUCAGAUGUGCCCAGAUGGGAUUAGCUAGUAGGUGGGGUAACGGCUCACCUAGGCGACGAUCCCUAGCUGGUCUGAGAGGAUGACCAGCCACACUGGAACUGAGACACGGUCCAGACUCCUACGGGAGGCAGCAGUGGGGAAUAUUGCACAAUGGGCGCAAGCCUGAUGCAGCCAUGCCGCGUGUGUGAAGAAGGCCUUCGGGUUGUAAAGCACUUUCAGCGGGGAGGAAGGCGUUGAGGUUAAUAACCUUGUCGAUUGACGUUACCCGCAGAAGAAGCACCGGCUAACUCCGUGCCAGCAGCCGCGGUAAUACGGAGGGUGCAAGCGUUAAUCGGAAUUACUGGGCGUAAAGCGCACGCAGGCGGUCUGUCAAGUCGGAUGUGAAAUCCCCGGGCUCAACCUGGGAACUGCAUUCGAAACUGGCAGGCUAGAGUCUUGUAGAGGGGGGUAGAAUUCCAGGUGUAGCGGUGAAAUGCGUAGAGAUCUGGAGGAAUACCGGUGGCGAAGGCGGCCCCCUGGACAAAGACUGACGCUC